GGUUGUCAUACCUUGUCUGAAAUGUCAGAUCAACCAUUUUUUCAAUUUUUCAAAUGGAUCUAUCAGGAGCGUUAUUAUGUUGGCCAAGGACUUUAUGAGAGGAUGACUGACUAUUUCAGAUAUGUCCUAUUCUGGUUGGUCAUAUUUCUAUGUAAAUUCACAUUUGCUUACUUUCUUCAGGCAAG